AAAUGAUUUAUCUUGUUUUUUAAAUUCGGAUUUUCCAAGAAUUUUUAUGAGCUUCAUGAAUCAUCACAGUUGCUCGACGUUUGUAGUUUCGUAUUCUUGUAGUUAUUUGAAGUUAUGUGGUUUGAAAUAGUCUUGGAUGUUUUGCAGUGAUUUCAGACAAUUGGUUUUGGAUUCUCUGUGUCUCUCUUUUCCAGUGGUUUAAUUUUGCUUAUGAUUUGGUGAUUUGAGCAUCACUGGGUGUGUCAGUCGGUUGAAACCUCUUUCAGAUGAUGUGCGUUGUUUGAACCGAAUCCUUCUCAGUGUCGGGAUUGAAUAUUUUCUUUCCAAGUCUAUAUAGGAUUGCCAGGGGUGAAUCGGUUUAGCUUGCUCUGAGUACUGUGUUUCAUUCAGGUUUUUGGCAAACAAAUGGCGAACAAUUUCCACUUUAGGAACUUCGGGACAGACCCACCAGGUGAGCCUAACGGAAACGGAAGGCCGCCGGAAAACUUUCCGUUAACGCGGCAGCAGUCGAUCUACUCGUUGACCUUCGACGAGUUGCAGAACACCAUGGGGGGCAGCAUAGGGAAGGACUUUGGUUCCAUGAACAUGGACGAGCUACUCAAGAACAUUUGGAGCGCCGAGGAGACCCAAACCACGGCCAACUUCUCCGCAGGUACCGCACCAGAAGGUACCGGAGGCCCACCUGCUGGCGCUGGGCACUUACAGAGGCAGGGUUCGCUGACGCUACCCAGGACGCUGAGCCAGAAGACCGUGGACCAGGUGUGGAGAGAUAUAUCCAAGGAAUAUGUGACUGGAAAUGGAAGCUCCAGUGUGCCGCAGAGGCAGCAGACUUUAGGGGAGAUGACUUUGGAGGAGUUCCUGUUCAGAGCUGGGGUUGUGAGAGAGGACACCCAACUGGGUGCCAGGCCUAGUACCCCAGGAUUCUUUGGCAAUAGUGGUUUAGGAAUUGGGUUUCAGCAGACUGGUGUGGUUACGGGGUUGAUGGGAAAUCGGAUUCCAGAGGGUAGUGAUAAUCAAUUUUCUAUUCAGUCUUCGAAUUUGCCACUGAAUGUGAAUGGUGUCAGAUCGGAUCAGAUGCAGUUGUCGCGGCCUCAGCAGCAGCAGCCCCAGAUUUUUCCUAAGCCGGUUACGGUGGCCUAUGCAACAAAUCAGAUGCCUCAGCUGGGCAGUCCAGGAAUGAGGGCAGGAAUUGUGGGGAUAAACGAUCAAAGUUUGAGUAGUGGGUUGGUUCAGGGUGGAGGGAUGGGAACUGUUGGGUUAGGAGCCGGACCUCUUAGUGCUGCGACGGGGUCACCGGCGAACCAGCUGUCAUCAGAUGGGAUUGGGAAGAGUAACGGGGAUACGUCGUCUGUGUCACCGGUUCCUUAUAUGUUUAAUGGUGGUUUAAGGGGGAGGAGGUCUAAUGGGGCUGUGGAGAAGGUGGUUGAAAGGAGGCAGAGGAGAAUGAUUAAGAAUAGGGAGUCAGCUGCGAGGUCUCGAGCUCGAAAGCAGGCUUAUACCAUGGAAUUGGAAGCUGAAGUUGCAAAGUUAAAGGAGGAGAAUGAAGAAUUGAGGAAAAAACAGGAAGAACUUACGGAAAUGCAAAAGAAUCAGUUGGGCCUUUUUAGGAUGAAACCUACGAGAAGGGAAAGAUAAAAGAUGAAAAAGCUUCAAGUUGGCUGUUGGGAGACUUUGCUAUUUUAAAAUAGUUCAUAGGAAGAUUAAAUUUCUGUUCAAAGAAGCCAGGAUUCACACAUUCCCUCAAGUAGAUAGGGAAGUCUGACGUGCUAAUUCAAUGUUGUUCAUUAUUUGCUAGAGAAAUGGGGGUUUUCUCACUACUUUUGCCAGACAAUGGGUUAUGGAGAUCAUGAAUCUCCAACGAGGAGUUAAGAAACAAUGCUUGAGAAGAACACAGACAGGUCCAUGGUAAAGUGCAAGAAUACAAUUGUCAAUUAUGGUUAAACAUUAUGUACGGAAGGUGGCUUGUACAUAUUAAAGGCGAAUAUGUGUUCUGUAAAUUGAGAAUAUGAGGGUUUUGGUGUGCUAGAUAAACCUUCCCAUAUCUUCUUCCUUUGCUUUUCUUCUAAACAUGAGUAGGUAUAGGAAAGUAGCAAUCUAUGUACAGAGUUAUGCUAUAUAGUUUGCUCGUAUCUUAUUCCCUUAUUGUGUGA